UGGGGAGCAUUGCGCAAAGGUGGACAGGGUUCACUGACGAGUCGACAUGGCUUUCCCGCCGCGGGCUUUUCUUGUCGUCGCUAUUGUACUCACAGUAGCCGUUCGUCAAGGAGAAUCGAGACAGGGGGUCUCUCAAAACGUCGGGAAGAAUGUCAAGCUUCGCUCGCCGAACUCCAUCACUCAGUUAUUCCAAGGUGACACACCGUAUCAGUUCAAUUGUACAACCUGGUGUCCGGGAUCAAUCUGCCAACAACAGGAAUGGUGUGUUUGUGUCCCCUUCGCCAAUGGCACAGGGGGUGUGUGCACGCUGAGGUACGAUGUUGCGGGCUAAUGAGCAACGAAGAAACAAGAAUGCCAAUAAACAUUGCCUUUCCUGGUACUUUA